CAGAACAGAAAAGAGCAGGAUUUUAUUUCAGUAACAGGCCUCCGGCCCAAAAUACAUAUGCAUAAAUUGAUGGAUAAUUAGAGCACAUGUAAUGUAUUUCAUUCAGUUUUUCUUGUCAACAACGUAUAAAAAUAGACAUUCAUCUUUGAUGAUAUUAACAGUUUUACUCUGUAAUAUACAUAUAUAAUUAAUGAUUGAUGGACAUUUACU